GACGAACGCUGGCGGCGUGCUUAACACAUGCAAGUCGAGCGGAGCGGCGAACGGGUGCGUAACGCGUGAGUAACUGCCCCCCUCCCUGGGAUAACAGUUGGAAACGGCUGCUAAUACCGGUAAGUGGGGGAUGACUCGCGUCCUAUCGGCUUGUUGGUGGGGUGGUGGCGUACCAAGGCGGGGACGGGUAGCCGGCCGGAGAGGGCGACCGGCCACAAUGGGCUGAGUUACAGCCGAAGCAGCUACGGGGGGCAGCAGUGGGGAAGAGUGCGCAAGGGGGGAAAACCUGGUGCAGCGACGCCGCGUGCGGGAUGUCUGCCUUCGGGUUGUAAACCGCUUUGGGCCAUGACGCGGUAGUGGCAGAAGAAGCACCGGCUAAUUACGGGCCAGCAGCCGGGGUAUAC
rnacentral:rRNA from 1 species